AGAGAGUGGGGAGCCAGUGACAGAUGACAACUCCAGCCUGCACAAGUUCUGCUACAAACUGGAGUACCUGCUGCAGUUUGACCAGAAGGAAAAGAGCACGCUGCUGGGCACCCGGAAGGACUACUGGGACUACUUCUGCGACUGCCUGUCCAAGACAAAGGGAGCUAACGACGGGAUCCGCUUCGUCAAGUCCAUCGCAGAGCUAAAGACAUCGCUGGGGAAGGGCAGAGCCUUCAUUCGAUACUGUCUGGUACACCAGCGGCUGGCUGACACACUCCAGCAGUGCCUUAUGAACCAGGGAGUCACCAG